AGGAACCUGAGCGGUGGCUGCGGCCCGAGCCGGGAGCCGGGAGCCGGGAGCCGGGUGCCACCUCGCCGUGGCCUCUCUAGCUGCCUGCCCCUCCCCUCUGUCUUGGGCUCUUCGUGCAGUGCAGAGGCAGCGGGCUGGGAAGGGAGCGUCGCCAGCGUGUGGUUCCCCGCCGAUGGGCAGCCCCUGGGCGCGCUGAGGGGCUGGGCUACUAGCGGCUGAGAAAAUGAUGCAUCCUGUUGCCAGCAGUAAUCCAGCUUUCUGUGGGCCUGGCAAGCCUUCCUGCCUCAAUGAAGAUGCCAUGAGAGCUGCUGAUCAGUUUGACAUAUAUUCCACCCAGCAAAGCAAAUAUAGCCAUGCAGUCAGCCACAAACCAAUGGCUUGUCAGAGGCAAGACCCAUUAAAUGAAACGCACUUGCAGACUACAAGUGGCAGAAGCAUAGAGAUAAAAGAUGAACUAAAGAAAAAGAAAAAUCUCAAUCGAUCUGGUAAGCGUGGCCGGCCUUCUGGAACCACCAAAUCUGCAGGAUACCGGACCAGCACAGGCAGACCCCUGGGAACCACCAAAGCAGCUGGAUUUAAGACAAGUCCAGGCAGACCUUUGGGUACAACCAAAGCUGCGGGAUACAAAGUCAGCCCAGGGAGACCUCCAGGUAGCAUUAAAGCUCUGUCCCGUCUUGCUGAUCUUGGUUAUGGCUGUGGCACUGCUGCUUUUCCUUACCCUAUGAUGCAUGGCAGAGCAGUUCAUGGGGUAGAGGAAACCAGCAGUGAAGUCAAGCCACCAAAUGAGUGAAUGAGGCAGGAAAGGAGGGCCAGGUUUGGAAGGAAGAUUGUGAAUAAUCCCAAAGCUUCUUGGUUUUAUUUUGACAUACAUGAUUUUAUGACCUGGGCUUUCCACAUUCGUUUUCCUGUUUGUUUGUUUUUCCUGCUUUUGCUCAGAAACUUCCAUAUGCUGACAGAUGCUCUCAGGGCAUAAGCAGUGGCAUUGAAUUUGUACAUAGGUUCAAGUGUAACACCUAACUAAGUCAUUUUUGCUUUUCCUUUAGAGUUAUGGUUGUGUCUCAGAUUCAUCACUACUUUUGGGCCAUUUUAAAUAGAUGCUUUAUGUACUAAACAACUGAAACUAUUAUACCCAUUAGUUUGUGAAGAAAGCCUACAAUAUAUUAAAGAUAAUAUCUAAGGUAUUUUUAACUGAUGGAACAAAGCAAACUAAUGAUUCAGGAUUAUUUGAAGUAUGGCUGUGAGUUUUUGUAACAUUUAUUUUCAUGAGACAGGACACAGAUAUUUGUGUACUUUGGCAUUUACAUAGACUUCAGAUGUUAAAAUUUUUAUUUUUAAUGUUCUAGGUUUAGGCAGCUUCUUAUUUAUUGAUCUAAAUGGCAUUAAUUGAUUUAACCAUUGUUCCUAAAGGAAUUAUUUACUGUUUGCCUUUCACCAAUGAUAGGUUGUGUAUUUUUUUAAUUGCCGAAGAGCAUAUAUACCAAACACUACAAACAAUUCAUAUUUACAGAAAAAUUAAACUUUUUAUAAAAACUGCACAUUACAUUUUUGGUGAAAUACAAUGCAUUCUGAGAAUAGCAUAUGUAAUAUAAUAGAAAAAGAAACAUUCUUAAGGUUUGCAUGGAACUAUAUUCACUACAUUUUGCCUUGUAUAGACUUAGUUUUAAAGCAUUAUGCUUAAAACAUUUAUUGUUGUUCAUUUAUUCAGAAUGUGUUUUUUUUUUUUUUCCUGAGAAAUUGUCUGUUGCAUUAGCACUUACUGUGGUUUCAGGUUUAUAUCUACCAAAGGACACAAACUGAGUGGUAGACUAUAAAACUGAUAAAAACAAAAUGCAGUUUUCUGACUGUCAGAACACAGAUAUUAAGAAAUAUAUAGGAGUCAUCUAUGCAUGAAACAUGUAAAAAAUAUGUUGGUUAGUUUAAUUAAACACCUAAUUGUGGCUCCAGUGAGACCACUUCACGCAAAAGAAAAUUUUUCCCAACAGUGUUUGCUUUAGAAGCAAGGUAGAUGGAAAAGAAAAAGUAUUGGGUAGAAAUGUAUUGUAGGGACAGAGGAAAUCUCUCUUGCCCCCUUUCUGAAAGUAAUAUUCUUUGUUAAUAUACAUUUUAUUUAUUCUGAGUUUGGUCUGAAUAAACUAUUAUAAACUUUGGAUUUGGAAAAAAAUUCCACUGAACUUUAAAGUUACAAUUUAUGUAUUUGUGGUUUUAAAUGCCUUUGAGAUUAUAAUGUAGGUUUGCAGGACCCAAAAACUUUUAAAGUAAUUAAAAGUUUAAAAAGGCACAUAUUGUGUUGUUUGGGCUUGCUCUCAGUUAAUACAAACUGAUUGCAAAUGGAUGUCAUGUUUCGUACCUUUUUUGUCAGGAAAAAAGCAGCAAGCCUUCAGGUGUUCCAGUGAUGCCUGACACAAUGAGCUGGACUUUAUGCUGCUCUUUACAGUUUCACUAUUCUAUAUUAAAACUGUUGGUCAGAAAAUGAUCUGCUGUUGAAGUAAGUUUGCUUUACUUUUUUCUUUUAAAAAAUAUUUUAACAUGCCUUAUUUAUUAUUCUUACCAUAUUAACCAAUGAGCUAAUGCAGAUGAAUUUUUCAUUUUUUGACAAAUAUAACCUUGCAUAACUAUUCUUUAGUAUGGGAUGAUUUUAAUACUAUCUUUGGAGUUUUGCACUGGAUAUUAAAAAAAUACCGGCACAUUGUGUUGGAAGAAAAGUAUCUGCUUAAUUUUUAAUAUUUGGGGACAUUUUUAAAAUCAGUGUUUCAAUUAGACUAAAAAAAUUCUUUAUAUUUUUUAUUUACUUUUUAAGAGAAGCAUCUGUUAAAGUAAUAAAAGUACUAUUCAUUCCAAACUGAUGUUUGUGUGAAUUCACAUGUAUAUUUUCAUGAAAUAAGAAUAGCGUUUGAGUGAAGGAGGAAAAAAUUAUCUGAAUCUUUUUAUUAGGUUAAAGGUAAUACAUCCAGUGUAAGGAAAACCAGUGUAUGAGCUAAAGAAAAAAACAAAAACAAAAUAACACCUUUUAUAUUCUAAGAAGCUUUAAAAGAACAAUUCAGGGGAUGUUGACUAUAACUGCUACUCUGUCAGUCAUUGUCUCUAUAUACGGUAAAAUUUUAUGAUCCCUUUAUAGUAAAAUAGAAGAAUUCACAGCAGUUGUUGAAAACAUUUUUUCCUUGGACAGAAAAUAUUUUGAUGCUGUUAGGUUUCUGUUUUUAUUAUAGCUUAACUAUGUCCUAUUAAACUCUAGGAUGUAUCUAAAUCUUUCCUUGGUUUUUCCUCCUUUACCCCCAAGUAGGUAAAUCUUUACUCUCACAUAUAAUGUAUUUAAUUUUUGGAAAAUUUAAUGCUAUAGUAAAUCAAGUGUGUGAUUUAUAGUAAUCAAACCACUUUGAUUCUUGAAGUUUCACAAUUUUCUUUUUCCACAGAUAAUUAUGGAGAAAAUAAUUACCAAUUAACUGAUAUAAGCACGCUGUCCUCUGCUGUCUGAAUAGAUACUGUGUAUGUUUUUAUGUCCAUGAACUUGAGCUACUCGUGUGCAAUUAUGUGUAUGGGAAUGGAGUAGUGUUCAUGAUUUGUAUCUACAUCAUCAUAUGGAUGUAUAUUUAUUAAUAAAGUCAUUACUUUAAAACCAA